UUUCUUGAUUUCUGCAAAUAUAACCCAAAGAAAGAAAAUUAACUGUAUUUACUUGGACAUAAGAUAACAGGAGCAGGGAUGCUGUUGCUGGAUCAUUCUAAGGUAUUUUUCUACAGAGGUGACAGUGAACCAGAACAUCAGCUCUAAAUUUCCUUGAACUUUGAGAAGUUUGGAUUCUGACUCAUACCAGCUGGAGAACAGUUGAAGACAUAGUUUGUAUUUACACAUAUGCAGAGGAAAUAAAGCAAUUUUGAAGGCUUUAAGAAGAAAAGUAGCACAAGUUCCCUCACGAAGGAUCUUCAGGCUUUCUAGACUGCUGGGGUCACCUCUCACAGCCAGCAACACCAUUUGGGGGGAGUCACACCAAGGUGGACUGUGAAGAACAGGCCCUCAAAGAUGC